rnacentral:siRNA from 1 species
GGGCUAGCCCACACGGUUUAUGGU